CCUACGGGAGGCAGCAGUAGGGAAUCUUCCACAAUGGGCGAAAGCCUGAUGGAGCAACGCCGCGUGAAUGAAGAAUGUCCUCGGAUCAUAAAACCCUGUUUUUAAAGAAGAAAGUUCGUGAGAGUAACUCUUCACGUUUCGACUGUAUCUAACCAGAAAGCCACGGCUAACUACGUGCCAGCAGCCGCGGUAAUGCGUAGGUGGCGAGCGUUAUCCGGAUUUAUUGGGCGUAAAGGGAGCGUAGACGGUUUUUUAAGUUUGAUGUGAAAGUGUUCGGCUUAACCGGAAGAGUGCAUUGGAGACUGGGAGACUUGAGUGCAGUAGAGGAGGGCGGAAUUCGAGGUGUAGCGGUGAAAUGCUGAGAUAUAUCGAAGAACACCGGUGGCGAAAGCGGCUCUCUGGUCUGUCACUGACGCUGAGGUUCGAAAGCGUGGGUAGCAAACAGGAUUAGAUACCCGAGUAGUC
rnacentral:rRNA from 1 species